GGGUUGUGAGGUUAAGCGACUAAGCGUACACGGUGGAUGCCCUGGCAGUCAGAGGCGAUGAAGGACGUGCUAAUCUGCGAUAAGCGUCGGUAAGGUGAUAUGAACCGUUAUAACCGGCGAUUUCCGAAUGGGGAAACCCAGUGUGAUUCGUCACACUAUCAUUACGUGAAUACAUAGCGUAAUGAAGCGAACCGGGGGAACUGAAACAUCUAAGUACCCCGAGGAAAAGAAAUCAACCGAGAUUCCCCCAGUAGCGGCGAGCGAACGGGGAGCAGCCCAGAGUCUGAAUCAGCUUGUGUGUUAGUGGAACGGUCUGGAAAGUCCGACGGUACAGGGUGAUAGUCCCGUACACCAAAAUGCACAGGUUGUGAACUCGAAGAGUAGGGCGGGACACGUGGUAUCCUGUCUGAAUAUGGGGGGACCAUCCUCCAAGGCUAAAUACUCCUGACUGACCGAUAGUGAACCAGUACCGUGAGGGAAAGGCGAAAAGAACCCCGGCGAGGGGAGUGAAAAAGAACCUGAAACCGUGUACGUACAAGCAGUGGGAGCCUCUUUAUGGGGUGACUGCGUACCUUUUGUAUAAUGGGUCAGCGACUUAUAUUCUGUAGCAAGGUUAACCGUAUAGGGGAGCCGAAGGGAAACCGAGUCUUAACUGGGCGUUAAGUUGCAGGGUAUAGACCCGAAACCCGGUGAUCUAGCCAUGGGCAGGUUGAAGGUUGGGUAACACUAACUGGAGGACCGAACCGACUAAUGUUGAAAAAUUAGCGGAUGACUUGUGGCUGGGGGUGAAAGGCCAAUCAAACCG
rnacentral:rRNA from 1 species